rnacentral:hammerhead_ribozyme from 1 species
AUCCAACUGACGAGUCCCAAAUAGGACGAAACGCCCGUCGUGGAU